GGAUGCGAUCAUACCAGCACUAACGCACCGGAUCCCACCAGAACUUCGAAGUUAAGCAUGCUUGGGCGAGAGUAAUACUAGGAUGGGUGACCCUCUGGGAAGUCCUCGUGUUGCAUCCC
rfam:Nicotiana attenuata strain TT scaffold02421, whole genome shotgun sequence.